ensembl:lncRNA
CUUAUGUGACUGACUUUGUUUACAACUUAAGAAGUUCAAUGCAUUCUAAUUUCUUUUCGGAGCCUUAUCCCGAACGAUUAUCGCCAGAAAACAGGAACAUCCUCUGUGUCAGCUGGACCCUCAGCAGAGAAUGAACUCAACAUCCUUUUUGUCCGGUACUCUAUGUCACACACUGUGCCAAAAAAACGUGUACAGACGCCACUACCAGACUUUUUCAGGCUAUACAGCUGCCAUCGGCCGUUGCAGUUGUAAAAACGAAAGGACACAGUACAGCUGACACAGACGAAGCAACAGGUAAUGCCUUAGCAGACGUGACAGCCAAGGCUGCAGCUGCAUCACAGCUCCC